AGAGUUUGAUCCUGGCUCAGGAUGAACGCUAGCUACAGGCUUAACACAUGCAAGUCGAGGGGCAGCAUUUUAGUUUGCUUGCAAACUAAAGAUGGCGACCGGCGCACGGGUGAGUAACACGUAUCCAACCUGCCGAUAACUCAGGGAUAGCCUUUCGAAAGAAAGAUUAAUACCGGAUGGCAUAGGAUUGUCGCAUGAUGAUCCUAUUAAAGAAUUUCGGUUAUCGAUGGGGAUGCGUUCCAUUAGGCAGUUGGUGAGGUAACGGCUCACCAAACCUUCGAUGGAUAGGGGUUCUGAGAGGAAGGUCCCCCACAUUGGAACUGAGACACGGUCCAAACUCCUACGGGAGGCAGCAGUGAGGAAUAUUGGUCAAUGGACGGGAGUCUGAACCAGCCAAGUAGCGUGAAGGAUGACUGCCCUA
rnacentral:rRNA from 1 species